rnacentral:rRNA from 1 species
GAUGAACGCUAGCGGCAGGCUUAACACAUGCAAGUCGAGGGGCAGCACUGGUAGCAAUACCUGGUGGCGACCGGCAAACGGGUGCGGAACACGUACAGAACCUACCUUGAUCUGGGGCAUAGCCCGAAGAAAUUCGGAUUAACUCCCCAUAAUAUAAUUGGAUGGCAUCAUUUGGUUAUUAAAAUUUAUUGGAUCGAGAUGGCUGUGCGUCCCAUUAGCUAGUUGGAGGGUAACGGCCUACCAAGGCGACGAUGGGUAGCUGGUGUGAGAGCACGACCAGCCACACGGGCACUGAGACACGGGCCCGACUCCUACGGGAGGCAGCAGUGAGGAAUAUUGGUCAAUGGACGCAAGUCUGAACCAGCCAUGCCGCGUGAAGGAUGAAGGCCUUCUGGGUUGUAAACUUCUUUUAUCUGGGAAGAAAACUACGAUUUCUAUUGUAGCCGACGGUACCAGAGGAAUAAGCACCGGCUAACUCCGUGCC